ACUUUGCUAUGCUUCAACUCUUCAAGCACAUAGAACAAAAUUUCAACCUCGUGCAAGAAAAUGUGUUUUACUUGGUUUUAAAACAGGAGUGAAAGGCUACCUUUUGUUAGAUUUCAACUCAAGGGAAAUUUUUCUAUCAAGGAAUGUAGUAUUUUAUGAAAACAUAUUUCCUUUUCUUACUAGUGACAAGCACUCAUCUAUUGAUACACAAAAUUUAAAUUCAUUGGAUUUGGUCACCAAAAUCAAUUCAUCUCCAUCACCUCUUUUCUCAGAAGUUACUGAUCAACCCUCUUUACCACCUACAUCUCCUCCUUCUAUUGUUCCAGACCCUGUUAGUUUUUCUUCUCAACCUGUUUCUGUUGAACCUGCCACUGCUACUCCACAAAGGAAAUCAACCAAGUCAACACAUAAACCAUCUUAUUUGCAGGACUAUCAUUGCAACAUGUUAGUUACUUCUUCCGCCACUCAGUCAUCCACAGGUACCUUAUAUCCUAUCUCUUCAUAUCUCUCAUAUGAUGCAUUAUCAUCUCUUCAUAAAUCAUAUGUCUUUAAUCUUUCCCAAGUUAGUGAACCUAAAACCUAUAACCAA
rnacentral:lncRNA from 1 species